GACAGAGGGUGCAAACGUUGUUCGGAUUUACUGGGCGUAAAGCGCGUGUAGGCGGCUUGGCAAGUCGGAUGUGAAAGCCCACGGCUCAACCGUGGAAGCGCAUCCGAAACUGCUUCGCUCGAGUCUCGGAGAGGAAGGUGGAAUGCUUGGUGUAGAGGUGAAAUUCGUAGAUAUCAAGCAGAACACCUGCGGCGAAGGCGGCCUUCUGGACGGAUGACUGACGCUGAGACGCGAAAGCGUGGGGAGCAAACAGG
rnacentral:rRNA from 1 species